rnacentral:rRNA from 1 species
ACAAGGGGUGGCGAAAGCGUGGGGAGCAAACAGGAUUAGAUACAGCUGGUAGUCCACGCUGUAAACGAUGUCGAUUUAGAGGUUGUGGUCUUGAACCGUGGCUUCUGGAGCUAACGCGUUAAAUCGACCGCCUGGGGAGUACGGCCGCAAGGUUAAAACUCAAAUGAAUUGACGGGGGCCCGCACAAGCGGUGGAGCAUGUGGUUUAAUUCGAUGCAACGCGAAGAACCUUACCUACUCUUGACAUCCAGCGAAUCCUUUAGAGAUAGAGGAGUGCCUUCGGGAACGCUGAGACAGGUGCUGCAUGGCUGUCGUCAGCUCGUGUUGUGAAAUGUUGGGUUAAGUCCCGCAACGAGCGCAACCCUUAUCCUUUGUUGCCAGCGCGUCAUGGCGGGAACUCAAAGGAGACUGCCGGUGAUAAACCGGAUGAAGGUGGGGAUGACGUCACCCUCCUCACGGCACUUACGAGUGGGGCUACACACGUGCUACAAUGGAAACAUACAAGGACCACCGACCUCGCAAGACCACGCGUAUCUCAUACAGUCUGUCGUAGUGC